AAGUAUCACUUUUCAUGUUUACACUAACCAUUUUUACCUUCUUCUUUAAUGAAUGAUAAAAGACAUUUAUAACCUUUUAAUUAACUUUGACAAAAAAAAAACAUAUUGUUAACUAAUAUAAAAUUAAAACAUCAACUCUACACCCUAAACCAUCGAACAUCAACUCUAAACCCUAGAUCAUGAAACAUCAACUCUAAACCCAAAACCCCGAAACAUAAACUCUAAACCCUAAACCUUAAAAUAUAAACUCUAAAACAUCAACUCUAAACCCUAAUCGUAAACCCUAAACCCUAAAUCUAAACUUAAAACAUCAACUUUAAACCCUAAAUAAUCAACUCUAAACCCUAAACCAUGAAACAUCAACUCUAAACCCUAAACCCCGAAACAUCAACUUUAAACCCUAAACCCUAAACUUUCAAAUCUAAACCCUAAA
rnacentral:lncRNA from 1 species